UACAGAGGGCUCAAGCGUUGUUCGGAUUCAUUGGGCGUAAAGGGUGCGUAGGUGGUGAUGCAAGUCUGGUGUGAAAUCUCGGAGCUUAACUCCGAAAUUGCACCGGAUACUGCGUUGCUCGAGGACUGUAGAGGAGAUCGGAAUUCACGGUGUAGCAGUGAAAUGCGUAGAUAUCGUGAGGAAGACCAGUUGCGAAGGCGGAUCUCUGGGCAGUUCCUGACACUGAGGCACGAAGGCCAGGGGAGCAAACGGG
rnacentral:rRNA from 1 species